GAUGAACGCUGGCGGCGUGCCUAAUACAUGCAAGUCGAGCGAACGGACGAGAAGCUUGCUUCUCUGAUGUUAGCGGCGGACGGGUGAGUAACACGUGGAUAACCUACCUAUAAGACUGGGAUAACUUCGGGAAACCGGAGCUAAUACCGGAUAAUAUUUUGAACCGCAUGGUUCAAAAGUGAAAGACGGUCUUGCUGUCACUUAUAGAUGGAUCCGCGCUGCAUUAGCUAGUUGGUAAGGUAACGGCUUACCAAGGCAACGAUGCAUAGCCGACCUGAGAGGGUGAUCGGCCACACUGGAACUGGGACACGGUCCAGACUCCUACGGGAGGCAGCAGUAGGGAAUCUUCCGCAAUGGGCGAAAGCCUGACGGAGCAACGCCGCGUGAGUGAUGAAGGUCUUCGGAUCGUAAAACUCUGUUAUUAGGGAAGAACAUAUGUGUAAGUAACUGUGCGCAUCUUGACGGUACCUAAUCAGAAAGCCACGGCUAACUACGUG
rnacentral:rRNA from 1 species